CAAAACGUGACAUUUGGAAACAUUCCACAAACAAAACUUCGUAGUUGUUAGAAAAAUACUCGUGAGUGGCUCCAUUUAUUAGUUUUUAUUGCUUAAGAUGCAAAAAUUGGCAAGAGUGAAACCUUCUAAACCCGUAGGUAACAGGAAGAGGUGUUCUUGAUUUCCAAGGGAAUGAUCAUCAACAUGGUGAUAUAUUAGAAGUUGUUGUGUAAAUCUACCACGUGGAGUCCUCUGUGAUCAGCCAAAUUAUGUAUUUCUAUUUUGGCAGGUGUUUAUGAGUGCCAAAAAUUACAAAUUUAUGGAAAAAAAUAAAGCGACAACCUUCAAAGUGUUAUAGUCGGAA